UUAUUUUAAGUUUAAUUUAAUUUUAUUUCUUUAGAUAUGGAGAGGUACCUCUUUUUAUUUUAUUUUAUUUUAGGAUUUUAUUUUAGUGUAUAGGGAUGUGGAUUUAUUUUAUUUUAGAGGAUGGGAUAGAGAUUUAUUUUCAUUUUAUUUAAUUUAAUUUUUUAUUUAUUUAAGUUGUAUUUUAGUAGAUGGGGAUGGGGUUUAUUUUAUUUUAACGGAUAGAAAUGUAUUUUAUUGGAUAGGGAUAGUAAAUUUUUUUUUUUUUUUGAUAGAGAAUUGUUUUAUUGAAUAGGGAGAUAGAUUUUUAUUUUAUUUUAUUUUAUUUUAUUUUAUUUUAUUUUAUCUUAUCUUAUCUUAUCUUAUCUUAUCUUAUCUUAUCUUAUCUUAUCUUAUCUUGAGCUGGACAACCACUCCUCAUUGUAUACUUUUGUCAAGUGGAAGUACAACUCAUUCUGCUAAACAUCUUGCAUUCAGCUAAAGAGAGAAAGUCAUACGGGUUUGGACCAGCAUGUGUAAAUGAAGACAGAGUUUUGACUUUCAGCUGAACUUUAAAUAAAGGCUGUGUUUAUUUAACACUGUUUUCCUGCAGAGAAAGGAAAGUAGUCUGAGUCACGGCGUGAUGAACCACAGUCACGGCUCUCUUGUGUAAAAUAGGAUUUGUAGAGUGUGUCUCAUGGCUGCUGUCCUAAUUAUGAAAUAUGUGUGUUUACCACAAAACAACAACAUUUACAUCUUCUUCAUGACUUAUCUGGGUCACGCUCCCAGAUUUACUCACUCACGCAUUCUCCUCAACAGGAUGAAAAGAAGAAAAUGAAAAUCAGCGAAACGGCAGAGCUGGGGAUUCUAGCAGAAACAGGUCUGGAGGGAAAUACUGAAUUAAGUCCUGCAGGAGAAACUAAAGGAGACGAGGAGAAGAAAAAGAAGAAAGACAAAGUAAUUUCUCCUGUUCAUUCCUCCUGCUGA
ensembl:lncRNA